rnacentral:rRNA from 1 species
UAGCUUCAGCGAUGGAUCGGUCGAUUCGCGUAUCGAUGAAAAACGCAGCUAGCUGCGUUAUUUACCACGAAUUGCAGACGCUUAGAGUGGUGAAAUUUUGAACGCAUAGCGCCGUUGGGUUUUCCCUUCGGCACGUCUGGUUCAGGGUUGUCUAUAUAGUUACUACAGUGUGGCUUGUGACACUGUUUGUCGUACGACGCUUGCACAUAAAUACUUCACAUGUGUGAUCCUCGUACUAGAUAAGAAAUAUAUUGCAACAGGUACCUUGGAGCAAUCCAAGGUGCACGGAUGUGUGAUGACCUCGUUGUCACCGUGAAAGCGUUCAGCGACUAAGAAUGCUUUGGCGGGGCUUGUUUGACAACGGUGUACGGUUCAUGUCAUUUGCAAUGCAACCUGAGCUCAGUCGUGAUUACCCGCUGAACUUAAGCAUAUCAUUUAGCGGAGGAAAAG